AACGAACGCUGGCGGCAGGCCUAACACAUGCAAGUCGAGCGGCAGCGGGACCUUCGGGUUGCCGGCGAGCGGCGGACGGGUGAGUAAUGCCUAGGAAUCUGCCUGUUAGUGGGGGAUAACGCGGGGAAACUCGCGCUAAUACCGCAUACGUCCUACGGGAGAAAGCGGGGGCUCUUCGGACCUCGCGCUAACAGAUGGGCCUAGGUCGGAUUAGCUAGUUGGUGGGGUAAUGGCCCACCAAGGCGACGAUCCGUAACUGGUCUGAGAGGAUGAUCAGUCACACUGGAACUGAGACACGGUCCAGACUCCUACGGGAGGCAGCAGUGGGGAAUAUUGGACAAUGGGCGAAAGCCUGAUCCAGCCAUGCCGCGUGUGUGAAGAAGGUCUUCGGAUUGUAAAGCACUUUAAGUCGGGAGGAAGGGCUGUAGGCUAAUACCUUGCAGUUUUGACGUUACCGACAGAAUAAGCACCGGCUAACUUCGUGCCAGCCGCCGCGGUAAAAC
rnacentral:rRNA from 1 species